GUAUCUAAAAACUUGCCGCGUCUACCGACGGUAACGGACCACUCUUAAAUUUAAUAGUAAAUUACGUGUUCUUUGAUCCGAAGAAUUGAUGGAAAAAGUUAUAAUUUUUAUAAGUUUUCUAUAAAAAAAAACUGCAUUCACGUUAAGAAUAUACGUGCGCGAAGUCUGAGCCGCCGACUUGCGUUUUGUGAUUGGUUGACAGUCAUCGGAAACCGUCGUUUAUCGAAGAAUCACGAAAACAUCGGGUUUUUGCGCGAUUCUUAAACAGUAAGAAAAUGUACAAACAAAAAAGAUAAUAAUUCGCAAGGGAAUAUAAUUACGUGUAAUUAAAACAUAAUACAAAUAAUAUAUAAAUUAUUAUGUGUGAUAAUCGUUAGAGUAAACGUUUACGCGCGAGUGGAAUCAAACAAUUGAUAGUGUAAUAAUCGAGGUAAUAAUACAACUCACUAGUACACUAUACAGCCGCUGCAGUUCCAUGACGGCGAUGCACGAACAGGAAGGGUUUGGUCGGCCGAGUGGUAUAAUUACCGGGAAAAAAAAAAUUCAGGUUGUACAAUAUUGUUACUAGUUCAUUAAAUGUAAAAACUAACAAAGUUACAUAAAAUCGGGCGAGACAACAACACAUGUUGGAAGACAUAUUCAAACAUCUUAAGCCUUACAAUGAUAGAAGCAUGUGUGAUUAUAUUGAUAUUUUGGAAGAUUUUCCACGUGAUAGCUUGGAUACUAGAUUGAAUGAAGUUAAUAUGUGAGCUGGAAAGGGCUUUAAGAUUUAUAAAUCGCUUUUAAAGAAAGUUGAUAAAGCUGAAGACAAUUUCAUGGUCCAAGCGUUUGUCAUUAAAGAUAUAAUAGAUAUACUUUUAUUUAGGAUGCAAAAUGUAUUUGACUGACCGCCAACUAGCAAACAAAUAUAAUAUUACAGGUCAUACGACAAUAUAAGACAUAAUUUAAUUUAAAAUUUGUGUUCAAUAAUUUUGAAAGUGUAAAUAUAUGAUGAAGAUUGUAACUAUGAUGUGCAAAAAAAACAAAAACUUUCAAUUCAACCAAACAUAGCAUUAUGCAAUAAACAUGAGUUUGAAAAUGCUUAUAAAAUACUUCCAAUACCAAAUAAAGAUGCAUUGAAUACUUUAAAAGACAUUUUAUGUAAUGAUGCCUUAUAUGAACAAACUGUAACCAAUAUUAUAUUCUCAUGACAAGUUGUAAACCAAUUGGAUUCGUAGAUUCAACAGAACGAGUAUGCAAACCCAAUAGAAGUUUUACUAAAUAAAACAAUCACCAAGAUGUUGGAAUAAUAGAAUCAGGCAAUUUCUAUUUGAGUUGAAAAUAGAACAAACUAUUUUUGUUGAUGAUGGUUUGAUUGUCAAGCAACAAAAUAAAAAUAAAUAUAUUAUUACAAGGUCUUGAACAAUAGUUUGAAAUAACACAAGGUCAUCUGUUCAUGCUAGGGCUGUCAUGGAUAGCGCAGAGGCAAUCCAUAGUAACGUUCAGUUCAACUGAAGCAGAAUAUAUUUCGGCAUACGAAACAGUCAAAGUUUUGGUUAGUUUUGGAAAUUACAUUAAUUCUUUAUUGUAUAGAAUAUUAAUUACGGGGCUGUGUUGAAUAUUGUAUAAAAAGUAACAUCAUACUGUUCAAUGAUAACAACAUAGUUGUACGAAUCACGAAAUAAAUGUUUCAAUUACAAGGCCAAUAGAUCACUUGUAUAUAUAGCCGUAUUUUAGCAUACCUACUGUAGGCACUAAAUUAUGAUAUUACUUAUGUGUACAUCAUGCAUUAGUUAUUAUGUUACUUAUUACUAAAAGCAGUGUAGUCAUUUUUGUCUAGAUUGAUCUACAAAUAUAGUUCUAAACUCAACUUAACUGUUGACUAAUAGCUAUACUGACCGGCCAUAAGGACAAUCAAAAUGCAUUUAGCGAGGCAUUUAGUAAAAUAGUAAUUAUGUUCUCUACUUCUUAAUAAGUUAUUGGCCAGUUGGCAGGUAUUGAAAUUAUUUAUUUUAUUUAAGAAAUUAAUUUUAGAAGCAGUACCUACGUACAUUCUUCUUCUUUUAAUUUAGUAAAUGUUUUUUUAUUUAUAUUAAUUUACAUUUUUUUUAAACUAAAUAAUUUAUUAACAUGAAACAAUGUUAAUCUGUACAUAUACUAGUUAUUGUAAUUAAGUUUUUUUAAUGUAUUUUUUUUACUAAAAAUUUUUAGAAGCAGUACCUACAUUCUUCUUUUAACACCACAAGAAUCAAAGAUAUGGAAAUUGUUGCUAUUAUUUGGCUCACAAAAGCAAGGGAAAAACUAAAAACAACAACACCAGCUGAUUCCUAAGUUUAGUAAAUGUUUUUUUUAUUCAUAUGAAUUUACUUUUUUUUUAACUAAAUAAUUAAUUAACAUGAAGCAAUGUUAAUCUGUACAUAUACUAGAUAUUGUAAUUAAGUUUUUUUAUGUAUUUUUUUUACUAAAAAUUAAGUUUAUAGUGGGUUAUAGUUUUUUUUUUAGAAAUUAUUACCUGUUAUACAAAUACAUUUUAAAUCACAUAAUUGAAAUGCGAGGUGUGCAAGUAUUUAGUUAAAAAAAUAUACUUAUUUUAUAUCUGUUAUAUAAAUUAAAUAAGUAAUAUACAUUUAUAUUGUUACUUAACUUAUAUUUAAAAUGUUAAUCUGGACUAGUUAUUGUCAUAACAUUCGUUUUUUCAAUGUAUUUUAUUUGUUAAAAAUUAAAAUUAUAUAUUUUUUUUUAUUAAUGAUUAUCUGCAUAUACCUAAAUAAAUUUUAAAUCACAUAAUUUAAAUGCAAGGUGUGUACAUUUUAAGUUAAACGAUACCUAUAUUAUAUUUAAAACACUGAACUAUAGUUAGUCACAUUUUUAAUAAUAUUAUGACUACAAAAUGAAAUUGGUUAACUUAAUGUUUCAA